CCUCAAUUUAAGAAAGACUCUUGAAUUUUAAGAGUCAAUAUAGGAUGAACGGAUCAUAUAAACUGGAGGGAAAAUAUGAUACAAGCCCAAACAAAAAAAUAUAAACAAGUCUAAAUUGAAAACUACGUUCAAACCUAUGAUUGCGUUGGAUAAAAACCGCAAUUUUUAUACGUGUGCAUGUAAAACAAAUUUCGUUGUAGAAGGGUCUAAAUACAGCACAAACAACAUUUUCCAAAAGACCAAAAAAGUGAAAAAGUAUAUUUUAACAAAACGCAUUUGACUAACAGGUCGAACAACUGAUGUUCUUUAACCCUGCUGACUGCCAUUGGAAAUUGCCAAAUAAA
rnacentral:lncRNA from 1 species